rnacentral:sRNA from 1 species
AAUUUGUAAUAACUAAGUAAACCUAAUUAUAUGUAGCUUUUUUGUGUACUGUGAAACAUUAAACCUCCUUGUUACUGUUUAAAAAAAAGAUAAUUGUCAUUUGUUCGAGAGAGCCCAGCUCCUGAACGUAAACGUAAAUAAUGGCGAAGUUAUAUAAAUUGUCAGAGAAUUUAACUAUCUGGCCGGGUAUUUCAUUUUUUGAUUUUUCAUUGUUCAAGUUCGGGAUCAUUUGGUAAUGAAAAAAUAAAAACAUUUGUGACCGAGCAGCACAAAAUGUAAUGAACGGUAUUAUUAGGAAAAUUCGAUUUUAUACUUAUUACCUUUUGACUGUCAUCUUGAAUUUUUCGACGAAGUUGUAACUCCUGUCAUGUAUUAGGAUGUGAAAUAUGGAGUUUCGAAAUUGUUGAUAUAAUUACAAGUUUACUUUUACGUUUUUUUGAACUGUAUUUUAAACCUUAAAUCUAGUACUCCAAAUAUUAUUGGUAUAUGCAGAAACUGGACGUUAUGAUAUCGUUUUGGGGAAGAUUGAUAUUCGGAAAUGUUUAGAAUUAUUCAUAUACAUCUGUUUAAACAGGUUCGCUCCUAUCUUUUUGGGUAUCUAUUUUAUGUCACCUCUUAUCUAAUCAUUUUGCAUCACAUAUUGAUUCUAUUUGUAUAUUAAUAUUUUACAAUGUCAAAUAAACCAUACUGAAUAAAAUUGUUAAAAG